rnacentral:tRNA from 1 species
GAGGAUUUAGCUUAAUUAAAGUGAUUGAUUUGCGUUCAGUUGAUGUAAGNUAUAAUCUUGCAAUCCUUA